UGAAGAAGGUUUUCGGAUCGUAUAACUCUGUUGUUGGAGAAGAAUGUAUCUGAUAGUAACUGAUCAGGUAGUGACGGUAUCCAACCAGAAAGCCACGGCUAACUACGUGCCAGCAGCCGCGGUAAUACGUAGGUGGCAAGCGUUGUCCGGAUCUAUUGGGCGUAAAGCGAGCGCAGGCGGUUUCUUAAGUCUGAUGUGAAAGCCUUCGGCUCAACCGAAGAAGUGCAUCGGAAACUGGGAAACUUGAGUGCAGAAGAGGACAGUGGAACUCCAUGUGUAGCGGUGAAAUGCGUAGAUAUAUGGAAGAACACCAGUGGCGAAGGCGGCUGUCUGGUCUGUAACUGACGCUGAGGCUCGAAAGCAUGGGUAGCAAACAGGAUUAGAUACCCUGGUAGUCCAUGCCGUAAACGAUGAGUGCUAGGUGUUGGAGGGUUUCCGCCCUUCAGUGCCGCAGCUAACGCAUUAAGCACUCCGCCUGGGGAGUACGACCGCAAGGUUGAAACUCAAAGGAAUUGACGGGGGCCCGCACAAGCGGUGGAGCAUGUGGUUUAAUUCGAAGCAACGCGAAGAACCUUACCAGGUCUUGACAUCCUUUGACCACUCUAGAGAUAGAGCUUUCCCUUCGGGGACAAAGUGACAGGUGGUGCAUGGUUGUCGUCAGCUCGUGUCGUGAGAUGUUGGGUUAAGUCCCGCAACGAGCGCAACCCUUAUUACUAGUUGCCAGCAUUAAGUUGGGCACUCUAGUGAGACUGCCGGUGACAAACCGGAGGAAGGUGGGGACGACGUCAAAUCAUCAUGCCCCUUAUGACCUGGGCUACACACGUGCUACAAUGGAUGGUACAACGAGUUGCGAGACCGCGAGGUUUAGCUAAUCUCUUAAAACCAUUCUCAGUUCGGAUUGUAGGCUGCAACUCGCCUACAUGAAGCCGGAAUCGCUAGUAAUCGCGGAUCAGCAUGCCGCGGUGAAUACGUUCCCGGGCCUUGUACACACCGCCCGUCACACCAUGAGAGUUUGUAACACCCAAAGCCGGUGAGGUAACCCUUCGGGGAGCCAGCCGUCUAAG
rnacentral:rRNA from 1 species